rnacentral:tRNA from 1 species
GGAGGCGUGGUGUAGCGGUCAACAUGUCGGCCUGUCAAGCCGAAGAUCGCGGGUUCGAAUCCCGUCGCUUCCG